rnacentral:rRNA from 1 species
CGGGUGCACUGAUCCGGCCGGGCCUUUCCCUCUGUGGAACCCCAUGGCCUUCACUGGCUGUGCGGGGGAAACAGGACUUUUACUGUGAAAAAAUUAGAGUGCUCCAGGCAGGCCUAUGCUCGAAUACAUUAGCAUGGAAUAAUAGAAUAGGACGCGUGGUUCUAUUUUGUUGGUUUCUAGGACCGCCGUAAUGAUUAAUAGGGACAGUCGGGGGCAUCAGUAUUCAAUUGUCAGAGGUGAAAUUCUUGGAUCUAUUGAAGACUAACUACUGCGAAAGCAUUUGCCAAGGAUGUUUUCAUUGAUAAGGAACGAAAGUUAGGGGAUCGAAGACGAUCAGAUACCGUCGUAGUCUUAACUAUAAACUAUGCCGACUAGGGAUCGGACGAUGUUAUUUCUUGACGCGUUCGACACCUUUCGAGAAAUCAAAGUGCUUGGGCUCCAGGGGGAGUAUGGUCGCAAGGCUGAAACUUAAAGAAAUUGACGGAAGGGCACCACCAGGGGUGGAACCUGCGGCUUAAUUUGACUCAACACGGGGAAACUCACCAGGUCCAGACACAGUGAGGAUUGACAGAUUGAGAGCUCUUUCUUGAUUCUGUGGGUGGUGGUGCAUGGCCGUUCUUAGUUGGUGGAGUGAUUUGUCUGCUUAAUUGCGAUAACGAACGAGACCUUAACCUGCUAAAUAGCCCGUACUGCUCUGGCAGUUCGCCGGCUUCUUAGAGGGACUAUCGG